CUUGCUUUAUUCUUUUCCCAUAUACGUAUCGUACACCAUUACGUUGAAAUUUCGUCCCAUUCAUUGGAAUCAGGCCCAAAAAGAUCGUUAUACUGCGUCUAAGGCCUGGUAUUCUUGGUCCAAUUUCAUGACCCAGGUUUGAAAGUUGGGCACAGAUCGUACACCACUUCCGUUGGACCUAAGCACGAUCUCCCCAAAC
rnacentral:lncRNA from 1 species